CCUCUCGUGGUGUAGGGGUAACGCGCCCUACCUAGUGAACAGGAAGUCGUGAGCUCGAUUCUCACCGAGAAGA
rnacentral:tRNA from 1 species